rfam:Trichobilharzia regenti genome assembly, scaffold: TRE_scaffold0001648
GUACCGAUGAAGAGUCCGAAACUAGGACGAAACGGCCGUCAAGUAC